GAGUGAUGAUUUUGAAGGCAAGGGCGACUUUAGCCAGUAUCGUUCUAAGCUACCAGCGCUAAAGUUUCUGAGACAAUUUUUUCAAUCAUCAAGAGCUUCUCCAUUUCAGCAAUUCCUGUUCAGGUGUAUUAUGAACUCUUUUGAGUAAACUUAUUUAUAGAUGCCUGCUCAUUAAAUUUUCAAUCCAUGGAGUUUUUGCCAUUCCUGUUUGACCUUUUGCUGACCGUUGAUAUUUCUCUAUCUUGUGUAUGCAUCAUUUCUAAAAUUCAGGAACUAGCUGUGAUGGAAAGCACACAAGUGGCUCUUGAAAACAUUGUAAGCGCAAUUUUUGAUGGAU
rnacentral:misc_RNA from 1 species